ensembl:lncRNA
GCGUGGGGCUUAAGUGUGCGGGUUGGAGAGAAAAUGACAUCAACCAACAUCACUCACGUGUUUCGGUCUGUGGGUCAUCAAUACGAUGCUCAGAGUCAGAAACUGAUUUUUGUAGCUGUUGUCUUUGGAGUGAUCUUACAUAGAGGUCAAGCUGCUGCCUCUCCUUUCCUUCCACGUUGCUCUCAAGAGUAAAGGAGUCCAUGAUUCCUCUCAGCCCCAGAGAAAACCAAGACAGGGAGCAGCCUCUUUCUCAAAAUCCAGGUCCCCUUCCUGGAGCAGAGAGAAGCAGGAUAGCUUGGAAGGUCUUCACUUCUCCCGUGUGGGGUCAACGCAGAUGGAGAGGUUACAGCACUGUGCCAGGAGGACAGGCACACCUGACCAAACUCGACUUCCAUUUCAGGGGCUUUCAAAUUCUUUUGAUUGUGCUCCAAAAACGGAAAAAAUUUCUUUUUAAUUUUAAAAACUUGAGGUGAAAUUCACAUUACACA